AUUAUGAUAUUAUCUAAUCACAACCAUUGACAAAAACACAUUCAUGAUUCAUGAUGACGAUAUCCACUAUUCAGAUGUUAGAAGAUUGCUGGAUUGCAGAAUGGAUUACUGUGAAGAAGAAAGGGAAGACAUGGAGUUGCCGCUAUUUGACUUCACCACUAUUGCUGAUGCCACUAAUAACUUUUCAAGCAACAACAAACUGGGACAAGGCAGUUUUGGACCUGUGUACAAGGAGGGAAAGAAAUAGCUGUAAAGAGGCGAUCCAAGGAAUCUGGUCAAGGAAUGAGGGAGUUCAAAAAUGAAGUUAUACUGAUAGCCAAACUUCAGCACCGUAAUCUUGUGAAGCUUCUGGGCUGUUGCAUUCAAAAUGAUGAAAAAAUGUUAAUAUAUGAAUACACGUCCAACAGGAGCUUGGACUUCUUUAUAUUUG